rnacentral:rRNA from 1 species
UACGUAGGGUGCGAGCGUUGUCCGGAAUUAUUGGGCGUAAAGAGCUCGUAGGCGGGUUUGUCACGUCUGCUGUGAAAUCCCGAGGCUCAACCUCGGGCCUGCAGUGGGUACGGGCAGACUGGAGUGCGGUAGGGGGAGAAUGGAAUUCCUGGUGUAGCGGUGGAAUGCGCAGAUAUCAGGAGGAACACCGAUGGCGAAGGCAGUUCUCUGGGCCGUAACUGACGCUGAGGAGCGAAAGCAUGGGGGAGCGAACAGG